GACGAACGCUGGCGGCGUGCUUAACACAUGCAAGUCGAACGAAGUGGCGAACGGGUGAGUAACGCGUAAUCAACCUGCCCUUCAGAGGGGGACAACAGUUGGAAACGACUGCUAAUACCGCAUACUGAAGGAGGGGAUUGCGUCUGAUUAGCUAGUGGGGGGGGUAACGGCCCACCAAGGCGAUGAUCAGUAGCCGGUCUGGUAGGACGAUCGGCCACAUUUGGACUGAUACACGGCCCAGACUCCUACGGGAGGCAGCAGUGGGGAAUCGUCCGAAAUGGACGGAAGUCUGACGGAGCAACGCCGCGUGAGUGAUGACGGCCUUCGGGUUGUAAAGCUCUGUUAAUCGGGACGCGGUACCGGCAUAGAAAGCCACGGCUAACUACGUGCCAGCAGCCGCGGUAAUUC
rnacentral:rRNA from 1 species